GGCAGCUUGCAACCAGUGUGAGGGUAAUCCAAUCCUGAAAAUAUCAGUAGCCGUGUUAUUUUGUUCUUUUUAUCGUGAUUCCGAAUGUAAACUGUUUUUUUAAUUAUUGGUGGAAAGGAGGAGCUCCUCUUAAUUUGAAGGAGCCCAGCUUUACUUUCUUCCUCACACAUUGUAUCCUUACUAUUCAUACAACUACUAGUAUUUUACCGCUUGCGGGUGUAUAACAAUUUGAAGUCUCUCUUUCCAAGUCAAAACCUUUUUAGUUAUAUCUGCACACAUCCAAUCCAAGAGUGUAUUAUCAGUAAUAAUGCAAUUUACAAAGGAAACAAACGAGAGAAAAUAAACCAAA
rnacentral:lncRNA from 1 species